AGUUAGUGUCUCGCGUCAGGGAUGAACGCUGGCGGCGUGCCUAACACAUGCAAGUCGAACGGGGCGCGCAGGCUGAGGCUUUUCGGAGCGGAAGCCGGCGCUGCCCAGUGGCGGACGGGUGAGUAACGCGUGGGCAACCUGCCCUGCACUGGGGGACAACAGCCGGAAACGGCUGCUAAUACCGCAUAUGCCCGCAGCCCCGCAUGGGGCGGCGGGGGAAGCUCCGGCGGUGCAGGAUGGGCCCGCGUCUGAUUAGCUGGUUGCGGGGCAACGGCCCACCAAGGCGACGAUCAGUAGCCGGCCUGAGAGGGUGGGCGGCCACAUUGGGACUGAGACACGGCCCAGACCCCUACGGGAGGCAGCAGUGGGGGAUAUUGCACAAUGGGGGGAACCCUGAUGCAGCGACGCCGCGUGGGCGAUGGAGUGCUUCGGCAUGUAAAGCCCUAUCAGCAGGGAAGAAAAUGACGGUACCUGACUAAGAAGCCCCGGCUAAAUACGUG
rnacentral:rRNA from 1 species